rnacentral:rRNA from 1 species
UACAGAGGGGCAAGCGUUAUUCGGAAUUAUUGGGCGUAAAGGGCGCGUAGGCGGCUUUGCAAGUGGCGGGUGAAAUCCCUCGGCUUAACCGAGGAACUGCGUCUGAGACUGUGGGGCUUGGAAUCCGGGAGAGGGAUGCGGAAUUCCAGGUGUGAGCGGUGAAAUGACGUAGAUAUCUGGAGGAACACCGGUGGCGAAGGCGGCAUCCUGGACCGGUAUUGACACUGAUGACGCGAA